rnacentral:rRNA from 1 species
CCUACGGGUGGCUGCAGUGGGGAAUAUUGGGCAAUGGGCGCAAGCCUGACCCAGCAAAGCCGCGUGAGGGAAGAAGGCUUUCGGGUUGUAAACUUCUUUUGUCAGGGACGAAGCACGUGACGGUACCUGACGCAUAAGCCACGGCUAAAUACGUGCCAGCAGCCGCUGUAAUACGGAGGUGGCAAGCUUUAUCCGGAUUUACUGGGUGUAAAGGGCGUGUAGGCGGGACUGCAAGUCAGAUGUGAAAACCACGGGCUCAACCUGUGGACUGCAUUUGAAACGGUAGGUCUUGAGUACUGGAGAGGUAGACGGAAUGCCUAGUGUAGCGGUGAAAUGCGUAGAUAUUAGGAGGAACACCAGUGGCGAAGGCGGUCUGCUGGACAGCAACUGACGCUGAGGCGCGAAAGCGUGGGGAGCAAACAGGAUUAGAUACCCUGGUAGUC